rnacentral:rRNA from 1 species
CUAAAUACUACCCAGUGACCGAUAGCGUAUAGUACUGUGAAGGAAAGGUGAAAAGGACCCCGGGAGGGGAGUGAAAUAGAACCUGAAACCUUGUGCCUACAAGCACAUAGAGCACAUCAACGUGUGAUAUGGUACUUUUUGUAGAACGGUCCGGCGAGCGAUUGUAUGUUGCGAGCUUAAGGUCUUAAGGACUGGAGGCGUAGCGAGAGCGAGUCUGAACAGGGCGUUCAGUAACAUGCAAUGGGCCCGAAACCGGGUGACCUACCCAUGAUCAGGCUGAAGUGAAAGUAAAAUUUCAUGGAGGGCCGAACCGACCUCCGUUGAAAAGGCGGCGGAUGAAUUGUGGGUAGCGGAGAAAUUCCAAUCGAACUCGGAGAUAGCUGGUUCUCCCCGAAAUAGCUUUAGGGCUAGCCUCAUAUUAGAUACCCGGAGGUAAAGCACUGAAUGGCCUAGCGCCCGAGAGGGUAGCGAAGCCUAUCAAACUAAGAAUGCCGGAGUAUUGAUGUAUGGGAGUCAGACAGUGUGAGAUAAAUCUCAUUGUCAAAAGGGAAACAGCCCAGAUCUACAGCUAAGGUCCCAAAUUGUAUCUAAGUGGAAAACGAUGUGGAAAUACGCAGACAACCAGGAUGUUGGCUCAGAAGCAGCCACUCAUUUAAAGAGUGCGUAAUAGCUCACUGGUCGAGCGUCUCUGCGCGGAAAAUUUAACGGGGCUAAGAUACAAACCGAAGCUUAGGCUGCACGAAAGUGCGGGGUAGGGGAGCGUUGUGUAAGCGGAGAAACAGUAGCGUAAGCGGCUGUGGAGUUUACAGAAGUGAGAAUGCCGGAAUGAGUAGCGCGAAUGUGGUGAGAAUCCACAUGGCCGGAAACCUCAGGUUUUUGGAGGAAGGUUCGUCCGCUCCAAGUUAGGCGGGAGCUAAGGUCAGGCCGAAAGGCGUAGCCGAUGCACAGACGGUAGAGAUUCCGUCCCCACCGAAAGAUUUAAGCACAGGGACACUUUUUGAAGGUCGGAGCCAGGUGUUGGUUCUGGUAGUGAUCGAGGGAAAUAUAGUACCGAAGUCCGGCUGGAAGAGAGGCGAGAAAAGCUGUGUGUAUAUCUAAGGUGCCCGUACCGCAAACCGACACAGGUAGGUAGGAAGAAGAUUCUAAGGCCAACGGGAGAAGGGUUGUUAAGGAACUCGGCAAGUUGACCCCGUAACUUCGGAAUAAGGGGUGCUCACGAGAGUGAGCCGCAGAGAAUAGGCCCAGGCAACUGUUUACCAAAAACACAGGUUUGUGCUAAAUCGAAAGAUGACGUAUACGAGCUGACGCCUGCCCGGUGCUGGAAGGUUAAAAGGAGAUGUGCAAGCAUUGAAUUGAAGCCCCAGUGAACGGCGGCCGUAACUAUAACGGUCCUAAGGUAGCGAAAUUCCUUGUCAGGUAAG